AUACAACUCAAGCUAGGUUUGAAAAUCAAGCCCUACUAAAUUUAAUUUAAUUUGUGAUAAACUUAAAAUUGCCAGGAUUAAUAAUAAUGAUGUUGACUUUAUUGAAGAAUAUUGCUUAGUUAUGGAACCAGUUACAAUUUCACUUGACAUUCUCCAGGGUGAAAAUAAUAUGUACUUUGGCUUUUUGCUGCCUACAAUAAAUGAAUUGUCAAGUAAACUCGUAGCUAUGAGCAGAAAACAAAUUGUGUAUUGUCAACCCUUGGUAAAAGCUUUAUAUGAUGGGGUGAAUAAAAGAUUUGGAGCUCUUGAAGAAAACAAUUUCCUUAUCAUUGCAGCUGUAAGCCAUCCUUCAUUCAAGUGCGCAUGGAAAAAAAUGAAAUUAGGAAAAAUGUUGCCAUCUCUUUAUUAAGAGAUGCAAUGUAUGAAAUGUAUUCUGACAAAGUGGUUCAAGAUACUGGAGAAUUGAACAAACGGAAAUCAAGUAGUAGUGAUGAUAGCAGUCAAGAGAAAGAUACUAAUGAUUCAUUUUUUUCGUAAGCCUCAACAAAAAAAAGUCUGAAUGUUGAAAAUGAAUUUGAAACAGAUUUUAUUUUUUUUUUCCAAAUAAAAUUUUUACUGAAUUUUGCGAAACAAAUUUUAAUAAAAAUAUAAAGA